GCUUGAUAGAGCUGCCCAUGGUGCUAACACCUACACGGCAGUGGCUAAGACAUGGAUCUCACUGGGUGGUGUGCAGGUGUACCUCAUAAAAAAGGAGGGCGUGCAUAGUGGUGGUGGCUGUCAAAGGGACGGACGCCCUUCAGCCUCCUCGGACGUGCGCACCGCUGGAAGCAGUGGCGCUGCAGACCGGUGCUGGCUCGGCUCGGCUCGGCUCGGCUCGCCUGGACCAACUCUGGCUCUUCUUCUGGGAGGGGGAGGGAGGACGAGCUGCUCGCUGGUGGCCAUGUGAGACAAGUCCGCACAGACACAACAAAAUUCCAAAAGUAUGUGCGGCGUCGGUGGAUGCUGCGGUGGUCCUGGCGGGGGCGGGUCGAUCUCCGGAGGAGCUUUGACACAGGUGGGAGAAGAGCCCGGCAGCACAUCGCGCCGUGCGCCGUGAGAGGAGGCGCACACGGCGGCUGCAGCGUCAAGCCCGUGUCGGUGUGCUGGAUCUUCGGAAGCGGUGCCCCUGUUUUCCCUACUAUUACCAUUACUUCACUGAGAAAGAGGAGGAGGAGAGCUCUGUACUGAGCCACAACUGGGAGACACCAUGUCUAAGGAGGCGAGAGGAAAAGGUUCUUCACGAAAGCACAGCGCCACCCAUUGGUGUCUGCAGAAUAUUGCACAAGAAUCUGUUGACAGCUCAGAUGAAGAGUUUUUUGAUGCCAGAGCAGAUGUUAUGGAGGGAAAAAGUGCCAUUCUGCUCGGCAUGAGUCAAUGGAACUCAAAUGACCUGGUGGAGCAGAUUGAAACGCUGGGACACAUGGAGGAUCCAUCUCAUGAGGCGCUCUACCAACUGCGGAAUCCAUGCUGUGCCCCCCAGAGCAGCAUCGAAGGACUGGAAGAUGUUGAGAAUUCCAAAUGCAGGACCCAUGUUCUGCUGCUGGUGGUCCACGGGGGAAACAUCCUGGACACGGUCGGAGGGGACCCAAGCACGAAGGCCGGCGAUGUGGCCACCCUGGCGUCAGUGCUGGAGAAGGUGACGCGGGCGCACUUCCAAGCAGCCGCCGAACAUGUGAUGAUCAAGCUGGUGCCGUGCCCGGCCGUGUGUGCCGAGGCGUUCUCGCUGGUGUCCAAUUUGAACCCUUACAGCUACGACGAGAGCUGUGUGUCCAGCAGUGUCGACCACUUGCCGCUGGCCGCCCUCCCGCUCCUUGCCAUCGUUUCACCACGCUACCAGGAUGCCGUGGCGACAGUCAUAGCCCGGGCCAACCAGGUCUACCGCAGCUUCCUGCACUCUGAGGACGGCCAGGGCUUCUCGGGUCAGGUGUGCCUGAUGGGAGACUGUGUUGGAGGUGUCUUGUGUUUUGAUGCUUUGUGCUUCAGCAGUCAGCAAAGGCCUGGCAGCCCCAACAACAACAACAAUAACACCAGCAGAAUGAAUAACAGCACUGAAAGUCUGAAGGAAAACUCGGGUCUGUUGGGAGAGUCCAGCCCGGGUCUGAGUUCCAGCAAAAGACUGAGUAAGAGCAACAUCGAUAUCUCCGUCCCCAACGAAGGACACUGCCAGGGCGCGCCGCCUCUCAGCCGCAAGCAGAGCGACUCAUACGAUGGCGAUACGUCAUCUACUGGCCAACAUGUCUUCUUUUCCAGUCUGAUGAAGGACAACGUGGAGGUGCGCAGUAGCAGCAGCCCCAGUCUGGUGUUGAAUCCUGGUCGUUUUGACUUUGAGGUGUCGGAUUGCUUCCUGCUGGGCUGCCCUUUGGGCCUGGUGUUGGCCAUGCGACGCACUGUGCUGCCCGCCGUUCAGGUGAACCAGCUCCACCCGGCCUGCUCUCAGAUCUUCAACCUGUUCUACCCGUCUGACCCUUCGGCUUCCAGACUGGAACCACUGCUGCAGCCUCUCUUUCACAAACUGCCGCCAUAUGCCAUCCCGCGUUACCAGCGAUACCCCCUCGGAGACGGACGCUCAUUGGUCAUAGCCGAGAGUAUCCAAAGCCAUCCCAAUGUGUUUAUGGAUGGUGAGCAGACUGCACAGUCGUCCUCAGAGACCAAGUCAAUAGGAGCGGGAGAAGAGAGAGUUCGCCGAUUCAGCGUGACCAGCGUGGAAAGUGGAAUGUCGAUUGGUUCUGUCGGCCAUCAGCUGGGCAACACCAUUGCCAACAUUUCCAGUAGCUGGUGGGGAUCCAAGAGGUUGGAUUACUCGCUAUACUGCCCCGAUGUGUUGACUGCCUUCCCGACAGUGGCUCUGCCUCACCUUUUUCACGCCUCCUACUGGGAGUCCACCGACGUAGCAGCCUUCAUCCUCAGACAGCUCAUGCGGUGUGACUUUAUGAAGACCCAGGAAGCGGACAAUCUGGACUCAGCACCCUUCUCGCCCUCCAGCCCACGGGAAAAGUGGCUCAGAAGGAGGACGCACGUCAAACUGCGGAACGUCACCGCCAACCAUCGAGUGAAUGACAUCAUCGCCACAGAGGACGGACCUCAGACGCUGGUCGGCCGCUUCAUGUACGGCCCCUUGGACAUGGUGACGCUAACUGGAGAAAAGGUGGACAUCCUGCUGAUGACACAACCCCAGUCUGGACGCUGGGUGCACUUUGACACUGAGGUGACCAGCAGCAGCGGCAGGGUCACAUACACCAUACCUACCGACAAGAAGCUCGGCCUUGGAGUCUAUCCUAUUAAAAUGGUGGUCAAGGGCGAUCAGACGUCAGCGGAUGCCUACCUGACAGUGCUGCCUCGUGGCAUGGAGUGUGUCGUCUUCAGCAUCGAUGGCUCCUUUGCUGCCAGUGUGUCAAUCAUGGGCAGUGAUCCCAAGGUCCGCCCCGGUGCAGUGGAUGUUGUCAGGCACUGGCAGGACUUGGGAUACCUGAUCAUCUACAUCACGGGUCGUCCUGAUAUGCAGAAACAGCGUGUGGUGUCCUGGUUGUCGCAGCAUAACUUUCCUCAUGGGAUGAUCUUCUUUUCCGAGGGUUUGGUUCACGAUCCGUUGCGACAGAAGACCAUCUUCCUACGGAACCUCAUCCAGGAGUGUCACAUUAAGAUCAACUCUGCUUAUGGAUCCAUGAAGGACAUCUCUGUUUACAACAUGCUCGGCCUCGGCCCCUCACAGAUUCAUAUUGUGGGCAGACCUUCAAAGAAGUACCAGAACCAAUGCCAGUUCCUGAGUGAGGGCUACGCAGCACAUCUCUCCUCUCUCCAAUUUGGCCACAGAGCCCGACCCAAAAAAUCCCCCUCGGUUCGCAUGGUCCUCCGAAAAGGUUCCUUCGGGCUCACCGCCAAGCCAGACUUCCUGUGUAAGCGCACCCACCUGCGCAGGACCAUGUCGGUCCAGCAGCCUGACCCACCCUGCACGCCCAACCCCAAGCCUGAGCGGGCCCAGAGCCAACCAGAGUCGGAUAAGGACCACCACGGAGGGGGAGGCGGUGGCAGAGGAGGGAAUGGCGUGUGGGGGCGGGCCUCCAUGCAUCGUGGAGACACCACUCCCUGAUGCUGGGCGAGGAGACGUAUGAAUCACUGGAGGAUGGAGGACAAUUAAAGCAUGAAGGCCGAGAUCCGGAGACGGCGUCGGCGCAAUCACGGAGAUGGCGGCGGUGUGGCAGCGAGAGCCUGUGGGAGCAAAUAACGCUGACACAGAGCGAACAUUAAUCAGAGUGUUAACUUUGCUUCGGAUGUGACAGACCUCAUUAACUGUGCUUUCGCUCAUAUUUGCAGCAUCACCUCUAUCCGCAUGCUUAAUGGACCCUCGCCUGCUGCUGCAGCUUCCGCUGCUGCUCUGCACCCUUUUUCAGCACUCGGUCGGUGGAUGGCUCCCCACUUUUUGUCUUUGUGCCAGGCAAGCUUGUUCACAAGGGUUUGCUUUUGUUCAACAAGUUCCUACUGUAAACACUUCAUUCCAAUCUCUGCACACAGAAGCACUCAGACAUUCAGGCUUCAACCUUUGACCCUGGGGCCCAGCAAGCCUGCUCCUGCCUCCAUUGCACACCCCCAGCCUGCUUAUGUCACCUUGUUUGUUCGGCCCCACCUACCCAAGAGAUACAUUUGCACAACCAAAGUCCAUUGCAGUGGUUAUUGAUUCAGCUGGUACACAAACACUUGUGUAUUUGUUAGUAGUUAAUAUGUCUGAUGUCCAGCACAGGUGACCGUUUUUCGGAUUAGCACAUACCGUUGUAAAAUACAACCAGACCGCUUUUGUGUGGAUGAUCAUUAAUUUGGAUUAUUGUGUGGCAAGAUAUUGUGCAUGGGAAAAAAAAUUAUACCACAGUAAAAAAUCAUCACUGUUUCGUGGUUGAAUACGGCCUAUUAUAUGGCCAAAAAGUAUGCAUAGUUAAGCAAAUUGUAUGUAUUUUUUUGCCGAAAGUAACCAUUUUCAAGCAUAAAAAUGCCUCACUAAAAUAGAAACUAUAUGGCAUUCAGAAGACGCAUUCAAAGACGUCAUGACAUGUACUAUACUACACUGGUCACUCGGUGUUAGUGAUGAUGAGACAAAAGCUACCACAGGGAGUACUUACCCAAACCGAAAGUAAAAAAAAAGGAACUCUUCCAAUGCUAAUGUAGGAAUCUAUGUCAUGUAUUUUCUCUUAUGUCUACUAUAGUGGGUAAUAUGAGUGUAAUGGUGACUAUAGGGGUGCUAUUUUGUGUCCAGAGGGCUCUAGUAAUAUUAAAACACGUAUUUGGAAGGUUGUAAACAUGUUUUUUAUGCUCUAACUACGAAAAUAUUCCUUUUAUAGAUUUAUAGGAAUCCUACUUAUUCACUGAUUGGAGGUCGGGCCUGGAACUAAUUAACCCAAAUUUAAGAAGGUAUUUCUUUAAAGUCUGAAAAAGAUGAGUCGUCGUAUAAUCAGGGUCUAGAGCAGGGGUCGGCAACCUUUACUAUCAAAAGAGCCAUUGUGCCUCCUCUUCCACGAAAAAAAAAUAAUCUGGAGCCGAAAAACAUAAAUAUAAACAUAAACAUAAACAUAAAUAAACUUUUAAAAGAUUUAACCUGUCUUAAUUUUCCCUGUUACAACAACAGAAUACAAGAAACAGAAGUGCGGUGUGCAUGUUUUAACGGAUGCCAACUAAUGCGGUUGUGAUAAAUUGGGUACACCUCACGCAUUCAUGUCCUUACAGAAAGUUGUAUAUUUUUUUUUCAAAAAUGCGCAUUUCCCCCAUUCAAAAAUAUUGUAGAUCUGCGAAAGGAGUCGCAACAAAGAGGCUAAAGAGCUGUAUGCGGACCCAGAACCGCAGAUUGCAGACCCCUGGUCUAGCGGUUUAUACAUGCAAACCAACAGGUGGCAGCAAAGAUCGUCUCCCCAAACAAGUUAGAGCUUUUCUUCCUGUCGUUCACACACACCAGUGACCUGGAGAGAUGCAACCGCAACUGGCUGGAGAAAAAGAAGUGUCUCAAAGUUUGGGAAACAGGAGGAGUUAUGAUGCAAAUUUUAAGAUCACAGUGAUCCAUGUAGCAGUCGUCAAACAACUGAGGAGCAGCUAAUUUCACUGAUAUUGAAAACAUGUCAAUACGGUGUUUUGUUAUUGUGUAGAAUCAGGGCCUUGCACCAAGCCACACUUGCAGAACUAUUGACUACACUGAUACAGUAGUUUUCACCUUUUGUUCAUUAAACACACAAAAAAAAUCACUGUAGGUUAUGAUUUGCUAAGCAUUCAAAUAUAUAUAAAGAAAAAACAGCAAAGUGUAAUCACAAUCAAACCAAAUAGACAACUUGCUCCUUAUUUCCCGUAAUGGUAAUGGUUUAAUUUUGAAAAUGCAUACACGUUACACUGGAAUACAUCACAUACAUCCACAUGCCCAAAAAGGAGUAGGAAGACACUAAGCUUAUUUAACCCUGCUCCCUCUGUUUCACAUCAAUAACAAUAGAUUUGUUCACUUCCUGUACACCAAAUGUACUCUUUGCCCUUUUUAAAUACGUAGGAAAAGCUUGGAAGCUUUUUUUUUUCCCUUUUCUGGCCCAUAAUGUGUUGAUGUAGGUGAUGUUUCAUUUUGUUUCCAGGAAUAUGCUGCAGGACAACGAGAAAAAAAGUUAUGGCCAGCAAAUGAAGCCCAGGCCGGACUUUUGAUACUACAGUGUGUGGACCGCUUUAUUGUUAAAUAUUGUUUGAUUGCUAUUGUUCUUUUUUUCAUUACUUGUCUCUCACAUAUUAGCUAUCCGACCCGCAUCGCCAUGCAUUCUUGCAUCUGUGAUGAGUCUCAUUCGGAUGCGCUUGAGGUUCCGUCGACUCUACUUUGAAGACCAUGUGACCACUCUGUGCAAAGCUAUUUUUCUAUGAGUAAAUACUGUAAAUAGAUCAAAUAUUUUCAUUGUCUUUGGACCUGUUAACUCGUUGGGUUUUGCCUUAAGUCGUACUUGAUGUUGAUUGACCAAAGUAUUUAAGAUUCACUGUGUAAUGCUGUAUUUUGUAGUUGAUAUUGUGUGUGUGUGUUUUGGUUGUGCGAGAGAGUCUUGUGUUGCUGCAUACAAGUGUUAAUAUACUAGACUGCUGGUUCUGCACACACACACACAGCAGUAUUUUUAUAGUGUUCAGCUUAGUGGAGGUUUUAUGACUGCAAAUAAAGACGGCAUGUUCGGGUGAUGUAAGAAGAAAAAAAUGACUACAACAUGCAAGGCUUCAUGUACAUGCUGUUGGUGUUAGUAAUGAACUGUUAAAUGAUUUAGUGUGUGCGUGUGUGCGCCUCCCUGUAGUGCCACCCAUUGUAAUAACUGCAGCAGCUAGUGUUGCGUGUACCAUAAUGUAAAAAUGAUUGUAAAUUCUCGCAUCCUGAGUGUACAAAAUGUUGCAAUAAAUGACAUGAAGUGAUAAAAUGUAGUAAUAUAAAAGUCAAAACAUGGAUAUUGUCCGAUUAUGGCCCAUGAGAUGUUUGUGUAUAAAUAUGUGGUGGUCCAGUGGUCCCCAAACCCCGGGCCGCAGCCCGGUACCGGGCCGUGGGUCAUUUGUUACCGGGCCGCACAGAAAGAAGAAAAAAUUCCAUUAUUUCAAUUUUUUGUUUUAUUUUGAAACGUUGCCGGAUUUUCUCUGUUACAUCCGUCCCACUUGACGCAUGUCCAUUGUGUGUGUGUGCUAACUUUAUCUCAUGCCGCACAGAUAGACUACUACUGUAUUUUUACCAUUUUUCUUUCACCUCAUAUUUGGUCUAAAAUGCUGGUACUAUGUGGGAAUGCAUAAAGGUAAGUUUUGAUGACUUAUUGAGUGCUAAUGUGCACAUUUGUCUCAAGUUAAUUCAUGCUAGCCACUGCCUCUUACCCCACACGUCAAACAGUGAUGUAAUAAUCUCUCUGGAAAAACUUGGCGGGAAUUUGAACUGGUGGAUGGUGGGUCGGCAUUCAUUUUAUGCUUUUAAUUUGAUCUUAUUCAUGUGUUAGUUUUACACAAUACAUAAGAAAUAAGAUAAAUUAGAUCGCUAUAAUGUACGAACCCCCACCACCCACCCCCGGCCCGCGAGAGAUUUGUGGGAACACAAAAAAGGUUGGGGACCACUGUGGCAGACGACACGUCAGAUGGUCAGAAGCUGCAUGUAAAUUUCAAUUACAGUCAGUGCUUUAAUUCAUGCUAAGUACAUGCUCACAGACACUUUAUUAGGUACACCUGCACAAGUUAAAGAGCCCUAGUACAUUUUCUUUGAAAUCCGCUUUUACAAACAGACCUCUCAGUUUUGUAAUUAUAGAUAAUAAUCCAUCAAUCAACAAUAUGUUCCUUAUUUUGAACUGCCCUGCCUCAAAACUGAGCAUUAUUGUCAUUUUAUUAUCUUAAUAUACCUCGAGUAUAGGAUGUGCAAGUGUGCCUAAUGUUGUGGUUGAUUUCCAAAUAAUACAUACUGUAUCUCACAAAAGUAUACUUCCCUUAAUGUUUCCUUCAACCAUUUUAAUAUAUCUUCUCAAGGGACAUACUGAGGAAGUCAAAUGUAGGUGUGUUUAGAGUAGACGGUGUACAGCUUGUGUAACAGAAAAGAUGGGGGAUGUUAAGACACCUUGCACUCCUCCAUCUUCCUUCCGCUUGCGGAUGCCCCACAGAUGCUCAGUUGGUUUCGUGGCGACAUACUUGGCCACUCCCAUCACCUUCAGCUUCCUCAGCAAGGCAUCUGUCAUCUUGGAGGUGUGUUUGGGCCCCUUAUCAUAUGGGAAAACUGCCACGGGGACCAGUUUCCCAAGAGAAGGGAUCAUGCUGUGCUUCACAGUCCUCCAAUUUCCUCAAUGAACCGCAGCUGCCCAGCGCUGGCAGCUCUCAUGCAGCCCCAGACCACACUACAACCAUACUUGACUGUAGGCAAGACACAAUUAUCUUGGUAGUCACUUGUGUUGCCAGCUAUUUAGACCAUAACGGCUGUGUGUAGACUCCUUUUUGAGUGGAUAGUAAAUCUCUACUGCUAUACAAGUUGUACACAGACUACUCUAAAGUAUAUCCAGGUUUCAUUUCUAGUAUUGUCCCUUGCAAAGAUAUAUUGUAAUAAAAUGGUUGCUGACAUGUGAGGGGGGUACUAACUUGUACUAACAUUUUAAAAACUGAUGUUUUUAAAAUGAUUAUUUCCUAUACCAACACUUCCUAUGCGGUGUGUUUUUGACUGCUAAAAUGAUUGUUUUGUACACAUUUCUUGUGAUGGUGACCGCUAUUGUGUUUGUUGGGCCUGUUUCCUUA